rnacentral:rRNA from 1 species
UACAGAGGUCUCAAGCGUUGUUCGGAUUCAUUGGGCGUAAAGGGUGCGUAGGUGGCGCGGUAAGUCGGGUGUGAAAUCUCGGAGCUUAACUCCGAAACUGCAUUCGAUACUGCCGUGCUUGAGGACUGGAGAGGAGACUGGAAUUUACGGUGUAGCGGUGAAAUGCGUAGAUAUCUGGAGGAACACCGGUGGCGAAGGCGGCAUCCUGGACCGGUAUUGACGCUGAGGCGCGAAAGCCAGGGGAGCAAAGCGGG